CUGGUGGCGUGCCUAAUACAUGCAAGUCGAGCGGACGAUUCAAAAGCUUGCUUUUGGAUCGUUAGCGGCGGACGGGUGAGUAACACGUGGGCAACCUGCCCUGUAGACGGGGAUAACACCGAGAAAUCGGUGCUAAUACCGGAUAACACGGAAGACCGCAUGGUUUUUCGUUGAAAGGCGGCGCAAGCUGUCGCUACAGGAUGGGCCCGCGGCGCAUUAGCUAGUUGGUGAGGUAACGGCUCACCAAGGCGACGAUGCGUAGCCGACCUGAGAGGGUGAUCGGCCACACUGGGACUGAGACACGGCCCAGACUCCUACGGGAGGCAGCAGUAGGGAAUCUUCUGCAAUGGACGAAAGUCUGACGGAGCAACGCCGCGUGAGCGAAGAAGGCCUUCGGGUCGUAAAGCUCUGUUGUUAGGGAAGAACAAGUACCGCAGUCACUGGCGGUACCUUGACGGUACCUAACGAGAAAGCCACGGCUAACUACGUGCCAGCAGCCGCGGUAAUACGUAGGUGGCAAGCGUUGUCCGGAAUUAUUGGGCGUAAAGCGCGCGCAGGCGGUUCCUUAAGUCUGAUGUGAAAGCCCACGGCUCAACCGUGGAGGGUCAUUGGAAACUGGGGGACUUGAGUGCAGAAGAGGAGAGCGGAAUUCCACGUGUAGCGGUGAAAUGCGUAGAGACGUGGAGGAACACCAGUGGCGAAGGCGGCUCUCUGGUCUGUAACUGACGCUGAGGCGCGAAAGCGUGGGGAGCAAACAGGAUUAGAUACCCUGGUAGUCCACGCCGUAAACGAUGAGUGCUAAGUGUUAGAGGGUAUCCACCCUUUAGUGCUGUAGCUAACGCAUUAAGCACUCCGCCUG
rnacentral:rRNA from 1 species